UACGUAGGGAGCGAGCGUUGUCCGGAUUUAUUGGGCGUAAAGAGCGCGUAGGCGGCUUGGUAAGCCGGAUGUAAAACCCCCGAGCUCAACUCGGGGCGGCCAUUCGGAACUGCCAUGGCUAGAGUCUGGUAGGGGAACACGGAAUACCUGGUGUAGCGGUGAAAUGCUUAGAUAUCAGGUGGAACACCAGUGGCGAAGGCGGUGUUCUGGGCCAGUACUGACGCUGAGGCGCGAAAGCGUGGGGAGCGAACAGG
rnacentral:rRNA from 1 species